UACGGAAGGCAGCAGUGGGGAAUAUUGCACAAUGGGCGCAAGCCUGAUGCAGCCAUGCCGCGUGUAUGAAAAAGGCCUUCGGGUUGUAAAGUACUUUCAGUCGUGAGGAAGGUGUUAAGGUUAAUAACCUUAGCAAUUGACGUUAGCGACAGAAGAAGCACCGGCUAACUCCGUGCCAGCAGCCGCGGUAAUACGGAGGGUGCGAGCGUUAAUCGGAAUUACUGGGCGUAAAGGGCACGCAGGCGGUUAAUUAAGUUGGAUGUGAAAUCCCCGGGCUUAAACCUGGGAAUGGCAUUCAAGACUGGUUAGCUAGAGUCUUGUAGAGGGGGGUAGAAUUCCAUGUGUAGCGGUGAAAUGCGUAGAGAUGUGGAGGAAUACCGGUGGCGAAGGCGGCCCCUGGACAAAGACUGACGCUCAUGUGCGAAAAGCGUGGGGAGCAAAACAGGGAUUAGAUACC
rnacentral:rRNA from 1 species